UCUGCAUGCCACUUCCAUGCUUAUCCUCCCAGCACCUUUAAUGCACUUGGCUGUGCAGAAACCUGGUGUAAUUUUAUCCUUUUUGAUCUUGAACGCUCUUUGUUUCACUUGUACUGCCAGCCUUCGGGGGCCUCCUAUUUUUCUUCAGACUUCACCUUGAAUUUUUGUCAACCUUUGCAAGCCACAGAGGAGGGAUGUGCCCCUUUCUCGGGGGAUGUGCAACCCAAAUACCCAACAGGGACUUCAGGGGGAGCCAAGGAUGUGCUCAGUACCUUGAGGACUGGUCUUGAAGAGAGUGAUCAGGCAGGCUUGGUGUGCAUCGGCAAGAGAAGAGCUCGGGUACUGAUUUGUGCCAACAACAGAAAGUGUGCUUGAGGACUUCUCCCAUGACUCUUCCACUGAUGCUGUGUCUGAGAUACACUUAAUUGGUUGUUAAAUGGUUAAUGAAGUCAGGGUUAACAUCAUGCAAUGUCCCUAAAGCUGAUGAAGAACUACUCAUUUUCUGCCCCUGAAAGGAAGAUGAACCAUUACUAUGAACUUCAGGGUCUUUCAUACAAGCAUGAGCAAUUAACAUCAGUCGUUCAAGAUCACACCUGCUCAUGAUCAUGCAGGUAUUAUUUUUUUCACCGAUUAAAAUAGAUAAUUAAUUAGCUGUUGUCUUUUUUCUUUUUUUUUUUUUUCUUACAAACUGUUUCAUUCAAUUAUUACUUCCUCUCAAAUUUGAGGGGGCAUUUGGGCUGUUGAUAUCAUGUUGAUAUCAUUUGUGACAACUAAAGGACUGUUGUACUUCUGCUCUGCCUUUGAUUUAAUGUUAGCAUACUGAGAUACUGAUUUUGCAUGAUGCAUGGAAUCCAUGUCAGAAGGUUUGGAUUGUGAUUUCUGCUAGUACACUACACUUUUUCCCUCUUGUUUGAAAAUUAGACAUUUUUUUUGAAACAAAAGUGUUGUUUUGGAAGACAUUUAUCCCCUUGAUCAGAAACGUUCAAGCACUUUCUUGUGUGAAGUUAGUCUCUUUCUUAGUUUCUUGGACUAAGCCUUUGUGAUAAGAUUUAUAAUUUUUAGAUGCACCCUUGUUCCUUAUGUGUGUGCCGACAAGGAAUUAGAUAUUCAUCACCAGCAAAUAAAACUGAGAGGAAUGAAUGGGGUUUCCA
rnacentral:lncRNA from 1 species